UAUGCGAAUGAUUUCAAAAUUAAAAAUUUAAUGAAUACUCGUGGUUGGACAUUCUGUAUAGUAAAAUAAAGUAUUAUAUGUGAGUGAAUUUAAUUGAAUCGUUGGGAAAUCAGUGAAAUCUAUUUUCUGAGAGUUCAGCUCUUAACGAUAAAUGUUAGUACAUCAAACGACAAAUCAAAUCUUGAUUAGAGAUAAGCAUAGCCAAUUCAGUUAUAACAUGUUAUUACUAAUGAACAAAAUUUUGUGGGUGUACUACGUGGAUGUGUGAAACCAAACUGAAAGAGUAAUACAAACAAUGUUUGAACAGAUUUCAAAACACUGAACGCUAUCAACAGAAGUGAAACUUCAAAUGAACUCUUCUCCCUGCGAAUAACCCCUGGAUCGAUUUCCCCCAGCUUCUGGCAAUAGUAUUGUAUAGCAUCGUUAAAUAAAGUGAUAUUUCCCCGUCUGCCGCCCUGCUCCCAAGAGACAGCACAACGGUUAGAAGACCACAACGCCGAAGGGGGACACAUCCGUAAUAACAAAAAGCCUAUAUGCGGUAUGAUUUUACCCAAUCCAUUCAUGAAAAGACACCCGGUGAAAGUGUGAAAAUGUACGUACGCUGAGGGUUUUUCCUGCCGAAAAAAAAAGAGGAAAACGAAGUUAUUGUGGGGCUCCCCUCGAGGAAAGCGCACCGUAACGGUAAUAGAGGAAAAGCCAGACGAGACCAAUACAAGUCACGUACAGACUGCUGUAUCUCCCCGGUUCACAAAUCCUUCUGGCUUUCGGUGUGUUGGUUAAUGUUUUGUUGAUGUUUUGCUCGCAAUUUUUCUUCCGGACCGAGAAUGCACCGGCAGUGAGAGUGAGAAAAACGCACUGAGAAAUUUUCUGAGUGGUGACCAGUGAAAGUGAGUGCUGCUGUGCGGUGACACGAUUCGAGGGCCCGGUGUUUGUGACAGUUUACGGUUGAGAGGGUUCCGCUUCUCAUUUUAUCAUCCAUCGGGUCGAGUGUUUGCCUAUGCACUUGAGUUUUCGGAUCGGAUGCGAAGCAAAAGAGUGUGAAUGAUGGUCAACAAAGAAAUUCAAUUAAAAGAAGAAUAAAGCAGCAGCGGUGGUGGCGGUAUCAACAUAAGUCUGUGCGAUUUAUCGUUGGGAGGCCAUUGAGUGCUUUUUUCGCACCAUUGUCCAAAAACGGAGGGGUUUUAGGGUUUGAGUGCAUGCGAACGGUGGAAAGGCGUUAUUUGUCAAUUUAGGAGAUCCAUGGCAUAGCAGAUUACUUGGAAUUCAAUUAAUAAUGAUCAUUCCUUGGCACGUUCCACGCCACCACGAUUUCAAAAGCAACGGAUCAUUGGCAGUUUGAAAGGU